UGGAGGCUGUCCUGGAACUAGCUCUUGUAGACCAGGCUGGGCUCGAACUCACAGAGAUCUGCCUGCCUCUGCCUCCCGAGCUCUGGGAUUAAAGGCGUGAGCCACCACCGCCUGGCUCAUCUCCACCUUCUUAUUUACAAUGGGGGCUGAAUUUCCCCUUUAGAACCACUGCAAAUCCAUUUUUGAAGCAUGAAAGUGCAUCAGGAUGAAGUUGGCAAGACUUUUUAACAGCUUGUCUUUCUCACUCUGCCACUUCCCCCAACCCCAAAGAAGAAAAUAUGUAUUUACAUCAUUUCAACAAACAACUGUUACUAUGAUCCAAGUGUCUUUUAAAAUAGUGACUGGCAUUUCUGGACGGGCUCCUUGAUAAGCACACUGGACUAACCUAGCCCAAGAGUCGGUUUGCUCUAAAUCUGGGCAGGGUCAAUACAGCUUUCAUUUAGCUACUCCAAAAAGGGUCUUAAACAUUUCAUUUUGUUUACAGCGGCCAGAGGGCUGCUGGACUUAUAGUUCAUUAGGCUGGACUAUGUGAUACUACCAUUUCUAUGUUCAGAAAUAAUCAAGCAUUAGGAAUGUCCUGUGGUUUAGCCUCAUAACUACCCAGUAAAUAUUGAUUAGAAUUGAGUUGAAGGAGCUGGACAUAGUGACUAACACCUGUCAUUCUAGCACUUAGGAGGCUCAGGCAGGAGGAUUGUUGCAAAUCCAAGGCCUCUCUGGGCCAAAUCAUAAACACCUGACCAGCCAGGGCUACCUAGCAACACCCUGUCUCACACCCCAACAAAACAACAACAACAACAACAAUAAUAAAAACUCCCAACCCAAGGCAGUCAAUAGAUUUUUGUUCGAUAGAAUAUUUGAAAAGGCGUAAAGGAAAGGUAGAAAAACUUAUUAAACAAACACAUUACAUCCAACCAAUUCUCAACUAUCAUGGGAAGUUCCAAGAAGAAGAUAAAUAGGGUAGCCAAGCAGGCUCUGGUCUUCUACCUCAGCAGUGACUGUGCUGCGUGUUCAGGUUUUAACCUUCUAUAAGGAACAUAGUCACAAUGACACUGAUAACAGCCUGUGUUUACCUGGUACCUAGUAUGUGCCAGAGUUGGUGCUAAAGGCUUUAGACACCUCAAAUUUAAUCCCCACCACAAACCUACAAGGAUUAUUUCAGUCUUACAGAUGAGAAGGCUAAAAUGAAAAUUUUACCAAGGAAACAGUUUCUUAGAGACACAAUUAAAUGGAAAAAACAAAGCAACAAUCUGGACAACACCUGCACUGUCGCUCGAGUAAUAAAAUUCUUUUAUAAGGAUAUGCUUGUAAUGUCCUUCAGUUUUGAGCGAAGAUUCAUUCAAAUAGAACCACCUGGAGAAUUUCUUUCUACUCAGUCUUUGGACCGUGUGGUUUCUUUGCUCCUCAAAAUGGCUUUUAUGCCAGUGUUCCUGACAUGGCCUCAAACCGAGAAUCUCAGGCUUUCCUCCGAAGGCAUCAGGAUGCAUUAGGACAAGAUCCCCAGGUGGCUCUCGUGUACGUUAGCGUUGGGAAGUGUCAUCUUAUGUUUAGUGUGUCUGAAUUUUAAACAGACUCUGAAAUAAUACUGGUGUUAGUGAUCAGUACUAAGGCCACACAUUAUAAAAUGUCCCAGGACUUGAUCCCCAAAUGCAAUCCACUGAAAUCUUAAGUGCAAACAGUUUGUGAAGUCAGGGGUCUUGGGGAGUCUAGACAUUACAGUGUGUGUAUGUGUGUGUUCAGAGCUCCGUGUCCUGAGCUUGGGCCUGAUCCAUGAAUAUAGCUGAGCAUGCUGGCAGAACUUCACCUUCUUCAUCUUCAAUCCCCCUGUGGGGAUGGACAAGAAUGUCCCCUUUCAUCGAAGGGGAGACCCAGAAUGGCCCACAUCGGAUAUGAAAUUCAUUGAAGCCAAAACUGUAGCUAAAAAGAUGUAUUCGAACUUGGCAGUGAUUCUGCAUUUCCAUCCACUACUCUAAAAAGUUGUCUCAGAGUCAGGGAAGACAGAUCAACUUUGGUCAAGGGCCCACUGCGAAAGCAUGAGGACCUGAGUUUGGAUCUCCAGCAAAUGUGGAAAACUCUCAGUGUGGUGGUGUGUGUCUGUCAUCUCACUGCCGGGAAGGCAGAGUCAGGAGACUCCCUGGGGCUUAUUGGCCAAUCAGUCAGUCUAGCCAAAUGGGUAAGCUCCAGGUCCAGAGAGAGACAGUGUUUCAGAAAAGGGGUUGAGUGAUUGAGGAAACAAUUGAUGCCAAUGUAUUUCCUCCACUCAGAUAGGUGCAUACACACACACAUACACACACACACACACACACACACACACACACACACACACACAAACCAAAACAAAGUUAACACUUCAGUAAGUGAUGCUGUGUCGCUGCCAGAUCCCCAGUGAACACGUGCUCCAAGGGUAAAGGGUCAGAUGGUAAAAGAAGUUCUACUCAUGGAAACUUGGGUUACCCAGAAAGGGCAGGAAUCUCACUAUCUGGGAAAUUUCCAAUAACUUUCCUCUGAAGAGUGAAAGUAUGUAAAUUAGGAGGCAGUUGGGAGGCGCAUAGGGCUAAGAAAAUAGCUGCCACAAGGUGGAGCAAAGUCACAGAGAGUUGAUGUGAGAAACUUCAGGUGGCCUAUCCAACCUGGGUCAGCUGUCUUUCUAGGUUCUAAACCCUACCCAUUCACCACAUUCAAAUUUGGGAAUAAAUUUGGUUCUCAAACACGAGGAAGAUAAUGACACUGAAUGACCAGAUGAGAAACAAGAUCCAUCGAUAUAAAACCACAAUAGGAACAGCUCUUCCUGCUGGAUGUGAGCCUAUCUCCUUCCCAGGAGCAAGGGAUUACAGGCCCACAGGAAACAGAGUAGGCCAUGGAAAAGAAGACUCAGUCUGGAUGGAGGAAGAUGCGCACUGGAGUUAUGUCCUUGUCACACUUUAGUUACUGAACCUUUUGUCUCCAGAUUCUCAUUUGUCAUAUGAGGGUAGUUAGUGCCCAACUUGUGGGGUUCUUGUGAGAAUGUUUGCAAAUUGCUCACCUUAGAAAGUAAUGCUCAAAUGUGGGACUGUCAAGCUGUGAACACUCAAUGUAGUAUAUUGACUGUUUGGUUGGA